ACUGGAACAGAAUGGAAUUUGAAACGUUUUAGCCAAAAAUGUUUCCAUGGUAAAGGUGUUUUUUGCAGAAACGUUUCAGAUUUCGUUCUGUUCU
ensembl:miRNA